GAUGAACGCUGGCGGCGUGCCUAAUACAUGCAAGUCGAACGGCAGCACGGUCUAGCUUGCUAGACGGGUGGCGAGUGGCGAACGGGUGAGUAACGCGUAGGAAUAUACCUUGAAGUGGGGGACAACCUGGGGAAACUCAGGCUAAUACCGCGUAAUCUCUUCGGAGGGAAGCUGGGGACCGCAAGGCCUGGCGCUUUAAGAUUAGCCUGCGUCCGAUUAGCUAGUUGGUGGGGUAAGGGCCUACCAAGGCGACGAUCGGUAGCUGGUCUGAGAGGAUGAUCAGCCACACUGGGACUGAGACACGGCCCAGACUCCUACGGGAGGCAGCAGUGGGGAAUAUUGGACAAUGGAGGCAACCCUGAUCCAGCAAUGCCGCGUGUGUGAAGAAGGCCUGAGGGUUGUAAAGCACUUUCGGCGGGGAGGAGGGCAGAUUGGUUAAGAGCUGAUUUGUUGGACGUUACCCGCAUAAGAAGCACCGGCUAACUCCGUGCCAGCCGCCGCCGUAAAAC
rnacentral:rRNA from 1 species